rnacentral:rRNA from 1 species
UCAAGCAAAUAAGGGCGCACGGUGGAUGCCCUGGCACCAGAAGCCGAAGAAGGACGCGAUAAGCUGCGAUAAGCUGCGAGUAGCCGCAAAUAGGCUGUGAUUCGCAGAUUUCCGAAUGGGGAAACCUAAUGUGCAAACGCACAUUACUUUAAGCUGAAUAAAUAGGUUUAAAGGGGGAUACCUGGGGAACUGAAACAUCUAAGUACCCAGAGGAAGAGAAAGAAUAAUCGAUUUCCUAAGUAGCGGCGAGCGAACGGGAAAGAGCCCAAACCAAGCCCUUCGGGGAUUGGGGUUGAGGACAGACAGAAGAGUAAAGUAAAAUUUAAUUGAAGAGGUCUGGAAAGGCCCGCCAUAGAAUGUAACGGCCAUGUAAAUAAAAAGAAGAACUUUACCAGUCUGAUCCAGAGUACCACGAGACACGUGAAACCUUGUGGGAAGCAGGGAGGACCACCUCCCAAGGCUAAAUACUAACUGGUGACCGAUAGCGAAUAGUACCGUGAGGGAAAGGCGAAAAGAACCCCAGAAGGGGAGUGAAAUAGAACCUGAAACCGUGUGCUUACAAGCAGUCGGAGCUCGUUAAGGAGUGACGGCGUGCUUUUUGUAGAACGAGCCAGCGAGUUACGGUAUGCAGCGAGGUUAAGCACUUAAGGUGCGAAGCCGGAGGGAAACCGAGUCUGAAUAGGGCGGUAAGUUGUAUGCUGUAGACCCGAAACCGGGUGACCUAUCCAUGGACAGGAUGAAGUUGAGGUAAAACUCAAUGGAGGUCCGAACUAAAUUGGUGUUGAAAAACCAUGAGAUGAUCUGUGGAUAGCGGAGAAAUUCCAAUCGAACUCGGAGAUAGCUGGUUCUCCCCGAAAUAGCUUUAGGGCUAGCCUUGGAUGAUGAGCUUUGGAGGUAGAGCACUGAAUGGACUAGGGGCUGUAUAAGCUACCAAACCCUAUCAAACUCCGAAUGCCAAAGUUUUAAUCCAGGAGUCAGACUACGAGUGAUAAGAUCCGUGGUCAAAAGGGAAACAGCCCAGACCAUCAGCUAAGGUCCCAAAAUGCAGAUUAAGUGGUAAAGGAGGUGAGAUCUCAAAGACAACCAGGAUGUUGGCUUAGAAGCAGCCAUACAUUCAAAGAGUGCGUAAUAGCUCACUGGUCGAGAGGUCUUGCACCGAAGAUGUCCGGGGCUCAAAUCUGCUACCGAAGCUAUGGAUGUACGAAAGUACGUGGUAGGGGAGCAUCGUAUACGGAGCGAAGCCAUAUCGUAAGGAGUGGUGGACUGUAUACGAGAGAGAAUGCUGGCAUAAGUAACGAAAGAUAGGUGAGAAUCCUAUCCAUCGAAAACCUAAGGUUUCCUGAGGAAGGUUCGUCCACUCAGGGUUAGUCGGGACCUAAGUCGAGGCCGAAAGGCGUAGAUGAUGGACAAUCGGUUGAAAUUCCGAUACCACCUUUAAGCGUUUAAGAAAAGGGGUGACGCAGGAGGAUAAGCUGAGCGCACGGAUGGAAAAGUGCGUCUAAGAACUAAGUCAGACCUUCAAGGAAAAUCCGGGAGGUGACGAUAAGGUUUAAUGGGGAGCCGUAAGGCGAAGCAGCUAAGUUCACACUGUCAAGAAAAGCCUCUAUCGAGCAAGAAGGUGCCCGUACCGCAAACCGACACAGGUAGGUGAGGAGAGAAUCCUAAGAUGAGCGAGAGAACCCUUGUUAAGGAACUCGGCAAAUUAACCCCGUAACUUCGGGAGAAGGGGUACUCAAAAGAGUCGCAGUUAAAAGGCCCAAGCAACUGUUUAGCAAAAACACAGGUCUCUGCUAAGUCGCAAGACGAUGUAUAGGGGCUGACGCCUGCCCGGUGCUGGAAGGUUAAGGGGAGAGGUUAGCGAAAGCGAAGCUUUAAACUUAAGCCCCAGUAAACGGCGGCCGUAACUAUAACGGUCCUAAGGUAGCGAAAUUCCUUGUCGGGUAAGUUCCGACCCGCACGAAUGGCGUAAUGACUUGGGCACUGUCUCAACAAGGGACUCGGUGAAAUUG